rnacentral:rRNA from 1 species
CAGCUGACGAGCCCUUUACUGACGCUAAAGCUCGAAGGUGCGGGUAUCGAACAGGAUUAGAUACCCUGGUAGUCCGCACGGUAAACGAUGGAUGCCCGCUGUAUGCGAUAUAUUGUAUGCGGCCAAGCGAAAGCGUUAAGCAUCCCACCUGGGGAGUACGCCGGCAACGGUGAAACUCAAAGGAAUUGACGGGGGCCCGCACAAGCGGAGGAACAUGUGGUUUAAUUCAAUGAUACGCGAGGAACCUUACCCGGGCUUGAACUGCAGGGGAACGAUCCAGAGAUGGUGAGGUCAGCAAUGACCCCUGUGGAGGUGCUGCAUGGUUGUCGUCAGCUCGUGCCGUGAGGUGUCGGCUUAAGUGCCAUAACGAGCGCAACCCCUUUCGCCAGUUGCCAUCAGGUGAUGCUGGGCACUCCGGCGACACUGCCACCGCAAGGUGUGAGGAAGGUGGGGAUGACGUCAAAUCAGCACGGCCUUUACGUCCGGGGCUACACACUGGACGGGCGGUGUGUACAGAGAGUCAGGACGUAGCAACGUCGCCAAAUCACGAAAGGAUCCUCAGUUCGGAAGCGGGUAUGCAACCCGACGCCGUGAAGCAGG